GCAUGGCUGGAUACUCUGUUCUUUUUAUCAGUCAUGUACCAAGCGAGACACGAUGCAAAAUAGAAAAACAAGAGCAAUUUUCCCUUCACAAUGCUAAGUAUCUUUCAUAGCAUAUUAUUUUUAAAUGUGAAUAUAAAG